CAACCCUCAAGACCCCUUCGGGGGACUUGGUGUUGGGGACCGGCUGUUCCCGGCCUGCUUCUUGCAGCGCCUUUAUGCCGCCCCCGAAAUGAAUUGGCGGCCUCGUCGCGGCCUCCCCUGCGUAGUAGCACAACCUCGCAACGGGAACGUGACGGCGGCCACUGCCGUAAAACAACCCCAAUUUUAUUAG
rnacentral:misc_RNA from 2 species